rnacentral:rRNA from 1 species
GACAGAGGGGGCAAGCGUUGCUCGGAAUACUGGGCGUAAAGGGCGCGUAAGCGGGAUGGCAAGUCGGUCGUGAAAUCCCUCGGCUCAACCGAGGAACGUCGAUCGAUACUGCUGCUCUUGAGGAUUGCAGAGGAGACUGGAAUUCCCGGUGUAGCGGUGAAAUGUGUAGAGAUCGGGAGGAACACCGGUGGCGAAGGCGGGUCUCUGGGCAAUUCCUGACGCUGAGGCGCGAAAGCCGUGGGGAGCAAACGGG